AUUGAACGCUGGCGGCAUGCAUUACACAUGCAAGUCGAACGGUAACAGGCCUUCGGGCGCUGACGAGUGGCGAACGGGUGAGUAAUGCAUCGGAACGUGCCCAGUCGUGGGGGAUAACGCAGCGAAAGCUGUGCUAAUACCGCAUACGAUCUGCGGAUGAAAGCGGGGGACCUUCGGGCCUCGCGCGAUUGGAGCGGCCGAUGUCAGAUUAGGUAGUUGGUGGGGUAAAGGCUCACCAAGCCAACGAUCUGUAGCUGGUCAGAGAGGACGACCAGCCACACUGGGACUGAGACACGGCCCAGACUCCUACGGGAGGCAGCAGGGGGGAAUUUUGGACAAUGGGCGCAAGCCUGAUCCAGCAAUGCCGCGUGCAGGAAGAAGGCCUUCGGGUUGCAAACUGCUUUUGUACGGAACGAAAAGCCCCGGGUUAAUACCCUGGGGUCAUGACGGUACCGUAAGAAUAAGCACCGGCUAACUACGUGCCAGCCGCCGCGGUAAAAC
rnacentral:rRNA from 1 species